rnacentral:misc_RNA from 1 species
GAAAUGCGAUAAGUAGUGUGAAUUGCAGAAUUCAGUGAAUCAUCGAAUCUUUGAACGCACAUUGCGCCCCUUGGUAUUCCAUGGGGCAUGCCUGUUCGAGCGUCAUUUGUACCCUCAAGCUCUGCUUGGUGUUGGGUGUUUGUCCCGUCUCCGCGCGUGGACUCGCCCCAAAGUGAUUGGCAGCCGGCGUACUGGUCCCGGAGCGCAGCACAUGUCGCGCAAACGAGUGCCUUGGUACGGCGGCGUCCAUAAGCCCCUCUCUCACGCUCUCGACCUCGGAUCAGGUAGGGAUACCCGCUGAACUUAAGC